GGCAUGGGAGGCGGUUGUGGCGUGGGAUCUAGGGUGUCUGCAGCGGACUCGGCGGCCGUGUGAGGCGCUCGGCCCGCCGGACCCCGCCUGAAGCGGGUCGGUGUGGAAACCGAGCGCCGUUUGGAUGUAGAUCUUCGCCGUAGGCCCAGAACUGGGCGGGAAUAAAGCGAAGACCCAGGUCACACGGGUGUCCUUGAUGAUUUGGAAAUUUGAUCUACAGAAGCACGAGUGAUUUAAAUUUUCUAGGGGCCGUGUCAAAACUCCAUAGAUGAAUGCUCAUUUGUAACAAGACUAUGAAUAAAU
ensembl:lincRNA Epb41l4aos erythrocyte membrane protein band 4.1 like 4a, opposite strand